GAGACAGCAGUAGCCACGGUAAUACAGAGGGUACAAGCGUUAAUCGGAUUUACUGGGCGUAAAGGGCGCGUAGGUGGUUAUUUAAGUGAGAUGUGAAAGCCCCGGGCUUAACCUGGGAACUGCAUCUUAUACUGGGUAACUGGAGUGCAGUAGAGGGUAGUGGAAUUUCCGGUGUAGCGGUGAAAUGCGUAGAUAUCGGAAGGAACACCAGUGGCGAAGGCGGCUACCUGGACUGAGACUGACACUGAGGCGCGAGAGCGUGGGGAGCAAACAGGAUUAGAUACCCCUGUAGUCCCUGUCUCUUAUAC
rnacentral:rRNA from 1 species